rnacentral:rRNA from 1 species
GAUGAACGCUAGCUACAGGCUUAACACAUGCAAGUCGCGGGGCAGCAUGGGGGUUGCUUGCAACCCCUGAUGGCGACCGGCGCACGGGUGAGUAACGCGUAUCCAACCUGCCCUUCACCACGGGAUAACCCGGCGAAAGUCGGACUAAUACCGUAUGUUGUCCAUUGACGGCAUCUGAGUUGGACGCAACGCUUGGGGGUGAAAGGACGGGGAUGCGUCCGAUUAGCUUGACGGCGGGGUAACGGCCCACCGUGGCUACGAUCGGUAGGGGUUCUGAGAGGAAGGUCCCCCACACUGGAACUGAGACACGGUCCAGACUCCUACGGGAGGCAGCAGUGAGGAAUAUUGGUCAAUGGGCGUAAGCCUGAACCAGCCAAGUAGCGUGCAGGAUGACGGCCCUAUGGGUUGUAAACUGCUUUUAUGCGGGGAUAAAGUGGCCCACGUGUGGGCUUUUGCAGGUACCGCAUGAAUAAGGACCGGCUAAUUCCGUG